rnacentral:rRNA from 1 species
UACGUAGGGUGCAAGCGUUGUCCGGAUUUAUUGGGCGUAACGAGCUUGUAGGCGGUCUGACACGUCUGCUGUGAAAACUCGAGGCUCAACCUCGAGACGCCGGUGGAAACCGUCUGGCUAGAGUCCGGAAGAGGAGAGUGGAAUUCCUGGUGUAGCGGUGAAAUGCGCAGAUAUCAGGAAGAACACCCGUGGCUAAGGCGGCUCUCUAGUACGGUACUGACGCUGAGACGCGAAAGCGUGGGGAGCGAACAGG